UACGGGGGGGGCAAGCGUUGUUCGGAAUUACUGGGCGUAAAGGGCGCGUAGGCGGCCUUCUAAGUCAGACGUGAAAUCCCCAGGCUUAACUUGGGAACUGCGUCUGAUACUGGGAGGCUUGAGUGCGGGAGAGGGAUGUGGAAUUCCAGGUGUAGCGGUGAAAUGCGUAGAUAUCUGGAGGAACACCGGUGGCGAAGGCGGCAUCCUGGGCCGACACUGACGCUGAGGCGCGAAAGCUAGGGGAGCAAACGGG
rnacentral:rRNA from 1 species